rnacentral:rRNA from 1 species
UGGGGAAUUUUGGACAAUGGGGGAAACCCUGAUCCAGCCAUCCCGCGUGUGCGAUGAAGGCCUUCGGGUUGUAAAGCACUUUUGGCAGGAAAGAAACGUCAUGGGUUAAUACCCCGUGAAACUGACGGUACCUGCAGAAUAAGCACCGGCUAACUACGUGCCAGCAGCCGCGGUAAUACGUAGGGUGCAAGCGUUAAUCGGAAUUACUGGGCGUAAAGCGUGCGCAGGCGGUUCGGAAAGAAAGAUGUGAAAUCCCAGAGCUCAACUUUGGAACUGCAUUUUUAACUACCGGGCUAGAGUGUGUCAGAGGGAGGUGGAAUUCCGCGUGUGGCAGUGAAAUGCGUAGAUAUGCGGAGGAACACCGAUGGCGAAGGCAGCCUCCUGGGAUAACACUGACGCUCAUGCACGAAGGCGUGGGGAGCAAACAGG